GACGAACGCUGGCGGCGUGCUUAACACAUGCAAGUCGAACGGACAGGCCCUGAUUUUGUGGGGUUCUCGAGUGGCGAGCGGGUGAGUAACACGUGAGUAACCUGCCCUUGACUUUGUGGUAACUUCAGGAAACUGGGGCGAAUAUCGGAUAGGAGCUUCUGCUCCGUGGUGGGGGUUGGAAAGUUUCGGCUGUUGGGGCUGGACUCGCGGCUUAUGAGCUUGUUGGUGGGGUAGUGGCUUACGAAGCCUUUGACGGAUAGCCGACAUGAGAGCGGGGCCGGCGACAAUAGGACUAAGGUACGGCCCAGACGCGUACGGGAGGCAGUAGGGGAGAGUAUUACACAAUGGGCGGAAGCGUGAUACAGAGACGCCGGGGUCGGAAAGACGGCCUUCGGGUUGAGAACCGCUUUGGCCUGUGACGAGGCGUGAGUGACGGUAAUGGGUAAAGAAGCACCGGCUAACUACGUG
rnacentral:rRNA from 1 species